rnacentral:rRNA from 1 species
GAUGAACGCUGGCGGCGUGCUUAACACAUGCAAGUCGAACGGAAAGGCCCAAGCUUGCUUGGGUACUCGAGUGGCGAACGGGUGAGUAACACGUGGGUGAUCUGCCCUGCACUUCGGGAUAAGCCUGGGAAACUGGGUCUAAUACCGGAUAGGACCACAUUCUGGAUGGUGUGGUGGAAAGUUUUUCGGUGUGGGGUGAGCUCGCGGCCUAUCAGCUUGUUGGUGGGGUAAUGGCCUACCAAGGCGCCGACGGGUAGACGGCCUGUGGGGGUGUACGGCCACAUUGAGUCUGAGGUACGGCACAGACUCCGACGGGAGGCAGCAGUGGGGAAUAUUGCACAAUGGGCGCAGGCCGGAUGCAGCGACGCCGCGGGGGGGAUGACGGCCUUCGGGUUGUAAACUCCUUUCGCUAGGGACGAGGCGUUAUGUGACGGUACCUGGAGAAGAAGCACCGGCUAACUACGUG